rnacentral:lncRNA from 1 species
UUUUAUUCUCUUGAUGGACAUAGUGGUUAAGUGGGGGAGGAGGCAAAGUUUCCAGUUUACAUAUGAGGGAAUCAAAAUGCCAGUAGCAGGAACACUGUAAUGAAGCAUGUAUUAUCUUCAGGGCAAAGGAAUCACCCCAGGUGUCUAAAUGUUGUGGGAGUUAGAUCUCAACUCACCUUGUGAUCUGAGAAGAGGACUGAUUGAACCCUUGUCUGCAAAAGAGAAAACUAAGAUUGGUGACAUCUUAGGUGAGUGGUCU